GCCGGCAUAGCUCAGUUGGUAGAGCAACUGAUUUGUAAUCAGUAGGUCGCGGGUUCGACUCCUGCUGCCGGCACCA
rnacentral:tRNA from 11 species